ACGGAAGGCAGCAGUGGGGAAUAUUGCACAAUGGGGGAAACCCUGAUGCAGCGACGCCGCGUGAGUGAAGAAGUAUUUCGGUAUGUAAAGCUCUAUCAGCAGGAAAGAAAAUGACGGUACCUGACUAAGAAGCCCCGGCUAACUACGUGCCAGCAGCCGCGGUAAUACGUAGGGGGCAAGCGUUAUCCGGAUUUACUGGGUGUAAAGGAAGCGUAGACGGCUUUGCAAGUCUGAAGUGAAAGCCCGGGGCUCAACCCCGGAACUGCUUUGGAAACUGUAGAGCUGGAGUGCAGGAGAGGUAAGUGGAAUUCCUAGUGUAGCGGUGAAAUGCGUAGAUAUUAGGAGGAACACCAGUGGCGAAGGCGGCUUACUGGACUGUAACUGACGUUGAGGCUCGAAGGCGUGGGGAGCAAACAGGAUUAGAUACCCUGGUA
rnacentral:rRNA from 1 species